GUGGGGAAUAUUGCACAAUGGGGGAAACCCUGACGCAGCAACGCCGCGUGAGUGAUGACGGUCUUCGGAUUGUAAAGCUCUGUCUUUAGGGACGAUAAUGACGGUACCUAAGGAGGAAGCCACGGCUAACUACGUGCCAGCAGCCGUGGUAAUACGUAGGUGGCAAGCGUUGUCCGGAUUUACUGGGCGUAAAGGGAGCGUAGGUGGAUAUUUAAGUGGGAUGUGAAAUACCCGGGCUUAACCUGGGUGCUGCAUUCCAAACUGGAUAUCUAGAGUGCAGGAGAGGAAAGGAGAAUUCCUAGUGUAGCGGUGAAAUGCGUAGAGAUUAGGAAGAAUACCAGUGGCGAAGGCGCCUUUCUGGACUGUAACUGACACUGAGGCUCGAAAGCGUGGGGAGCAAACAGGAUUAGAAACCCGGGUAGUCC
rnacentral:rRNA from 1 species